rnacentral:lncRNA from 1 species
GAGGUUUAUUGUUUGGCGCCCAUACCAGACGGGGUAUGGAGACGACCCCAAAAAUUAAAUUUGUUAAGGGAAUAGUUUACAUGUAGCGGGGACCCCUAUGGAUCCCCAUGGAUACUAGUAGACUGAUGAAAAGGGAAGAACUGUCGUUUGAUAAUUGAAAUAUAAAAGUAUGACAUGUACUAUGUUACAGAAUAUGUAUGAAUUCAUGAUAUCUAUGAUGUUGUUGUUUACAUGGAUUGUUUUUAUAAAUCCCACUGAAAUAAGAGGACGGUAAAUGGUUUGAUUAUUGAUAAAUAAAUUUAUUCAAAAUUUGUACUCAAUUGGUUGUUUUUUGUUUUCUACCAAUAUUUACUUAUGUGACAAUGAUAUAAUGUUAUGUCUUUACUGGGCUAGUGUAGCUCAUUCCUUACUUAAUCAUUUCAUAUCAGGAGGACUUAGUUCCCGAGCCCGAUCCAUAAAAAGACGGCGAGUAGAUGCCUAGAUGUUUAU